rfam:Cavia porcellus supercont2_53 genomic scaffold, whole genome shotgun sequence.
GGGGAUUUAGCUCAGUGGCAUAAGCGCCUGUCUUGCAAGCAUGCAGUUGGGAGUUCAAUCCCCA